AGCAAAAAAAGCUAACAGGAAUCCACAGUCCACCUUCAAAGAGCAGCCGGUGGAGAUAAAGAGUAGAUUACUGAUUCCAGAGUACGUGUCAGAUGCUGCCUAGGGACUUCCUAAGUAGAGGUCAAGGUCCUACUGUUAUACAGAAACAGCUGAUGCAUUUCCAGGACAGCCAAUUUGGAAUUCAAGGCAGACCAAACGCCUCACACCAUUUAAACAGAUGAUUCUCCCGGUGGACAGACGAGACUAGUGAGAAGAUGGCCAGGCCCAUCACACUUCGGGUUUUAAUUCAUCCCUUUCACGGCUUAGAAUAUUAUCACUUCCAAGUGUGAUCUAUGGAACACUCCAGAAUAAAUAUCUUCUGGCAGCUUGUUAGGAAUGAGGA
rnacentral:lncRNA from 1 species